UACGUAGGGGGCAAGCGUUGGUCCGGAUUUAUUGGGCGUAAAGCGCGUGUAGACGGCUAGAUAGGUCCGCUGUGAAAACUUAGAGGCUCAACCUCAAGAGGUCGGUGGAAACCAUUUGGCUAGAGUCCGGAAGAGGAGAGUGGAAUUCCUGGUGUAGCGGUGAAAUGCGCAGAUAUCAGGAAGAACACCCGUGGCUAAGGCGGCUCUCUAGUACGGUACUGACGCUGAGACGCGAAAAGCGUGGGGGAGCGAACAGG
rnacentral:rRNA from 1 species